rnacentral:sRNA from 1 species
UAUAUUUUGUUGUUCAGUUCAGCUACUGGAUGCAUCUCUGAUUCCUCUAGUUAAAAACUGCCUUUAUUGAACAUUAUUUCUAAAACUAUUAAGCAUUCUUUAUUUGCUUUUGAAAUUAUUCAUAUGCAAUUUUUCCUUUAGAGUGUGAACCUAUUGAAAGAAGGUACUAUGUUUAAUUUAUCUGUAUGUUUCAGACUCCAGUUCCUGAAACAUAGUAGCACUCAGAAUAACGGAUACUACACUCCUUGGCCGAUUCCAAGUCUUGUGGCCAGGGAGAAAUACAAAUGGUUUGUACCAGAAGUACUGUGGAACUCUCAUUAACUCAACCAACUAUCUGUAUUUCACUUCUGGUACUGAAAAGGAAGAGGUUCAUAGUGCCAAGAGAGCUCUUUCAUUUAUUCCCUUCUAUCACUAGAGCAUGGCAGGGGUGGUCAUGUAAAAAAACAAACCAAACCGAACCAAAAACAAAAACCUCUAGUCUUUGGAAAGUCUACAGACUUCUGGAGAGCCAGCUGCUUUGUUAUACAAUGUUACUGGUAUCAGUAGCUAUAGAAUGUGGCUUAGUUUAGCUCUAUUAUUUUCCUUUGUUUUAAGGGAAAAAAGGAUUUAAGCGAUGUAUCAAACCAUCUACCGGAACAAAAGAGUCCAUAAGGAACUGUAUAUUGAAACUGGAGCAAAGCCACCAGAGCCUAAACAUCCCUUGAGACUGAUCACAUCAAGUCUUUGCUUUACCAACGGUUUCAAACUACCCCUGUUUUCUCCUUGAUCUUAGCCCGUUAUAAACCCUCCGUCUCCUUUUGUCAUGGCCCUAGAUUCUCCACUACUGUCUUGUUCUGUCUUCUGGCCUGGAGUCCCAUGGAGGCUUUCACAAUUCAGCCCAUCUCACCCAGCCCAUUUGUGACAUAUGUCACCAUCUGAUGGAAGCAUCAGGCACCACAUUAAACUUUUCAUAUAUUGUUACAUGUUAAUAUUUGAGCCAAAUAUUCAUUACAUACUAUGCAUUCAAGGUGCUGUUAGCAUAAACCAGCAAACAUGUAUUUCUUCCUUGCAAAAUUAUAAUGGGAUGUAAUUUUCUCAGUUACUGCAUUCAUCCUGCUGGAUGUUACAAUGGUUUAUUAAAUUAGAUUUAAAUGCUUGUUUCUAGAAAACAUUCUCAAGUCACUUUUGGAGACACUGUAAAUAUUUAAGUCAAUGCCAAAAUUCAAAGCGUUACUGGUUCACCUAGAAAUUCAAGUAUGCCUGAUCUCUUCAUCUUUAGCAGAAUAAGGGGUCUCAUGCUUGGCGGGUGUGGCUGAUUAGAAUUUGUCUUUAUGAUAAGCCUCCUACUAAAAUUCCUUUGCCCUUUGUUUCUGUAAGGUUUAAUUGUUUAGGGACCUAACCUGGAGGAUAGGACAUCCAUUUGACUGCCAUGUGUUUGUUCUAAAAACAAAACAAACCAAGAAACCAAACCCCAAAUCUAGAAUCUGAUAAAACAAACAAACAAACAAACAUGAUAUUUCUGUAGCACAGUUGCCUCCUCAUGGCUGGGAUUUGGCUACUCACGUAAAAGUAAGUGUCAUGCAAUUGGCCGUUUGGUUUAAAUUUAGUAACAUUAUCAAAUAUAAAUAUGUGUUUUCAAAGAUGCAUGAGCAUGUUUUGUUUCUCUUUCCAUUGUCCAUGAAGAGGGCUGCCAAGUGCUUGGCUGGCCUCCACGUCACCAAUACUGUGCCUGCGUGCCAUAAGUGUCAGAGGCCGGUCAGUUCAGCGUAGGACUCUCAGGGUUCAUUUGGGGUUCUGAUGGCAGAGUGCAAACUGAAUAUGCUUAUUGUUUGAGAUUAAGUGUGUAAACGAACACCUUUCUAGAUGUUGUCUUUGUACUUACAUGCGGAUAUAAAUAACCUGUACACGUAUCUGUUUUGAAGAAACUAAUUAAGUCUAAAUGACUAAUCCCCAGUUUCAGAGUCAUGUACACAAAACAUGAUUCAUGGAAGCAGGAAUGACUUCUUCACCUCCUGGACUUGGUAACACUUUGUUUGUGUUGCAUUGAAGGAAGAUGGUGGCAGGAGAUCAGUGGCUGCACUUGUUACAGAAAGCUGUGAGAGCAAGGAAGAGUUUGGACUGGGCUACCUAUCAUGGCCAGUGGCAUUUCAAGAAUGACCACCCAUGCCAGCCAUGCUCUGGCAGUGUUACGGUCCUGGAGACUGCUCAUAAUUCUUCUGAACAGUCAGUACAGAGCAUGAAGAAACAGUAGCACUGAACCGCACUGGAACCUGGCCUUCAGCAGAAGGAUAUGGAGGGUAUGAUGGUGUAGGCCUGGUUGUCCAGAAUCCAGUGUGUAGACAACAGUGGCCUUGAACUCAGAGAUCAUCCUGCUUCAACCUCCCAAGUACCCAGAUUAAAGAUGUGAGCCACCACAGCAGGUCAUGUUUUGUUGCGGCUAUCUGCUGGACUUCAACCUAUAGGAUUACCAGAGAGACAGCUGCUCUGUGUUGGACCAAACAAAUCUACCAGUUAAGACCUACAGCCAGUCUUAUAGGCUAUGGAAUUAAUAAUUUUUCAUAAAAAGUACUUGGUAUUUCUUAUCAAGACCAAGUGCCAUCCAGUGCUAAAAGACUGAAAUCUCCUGCAAAGAAACUUCAGCAGCCAUAGCAGAAAGAGUGAUCUUUAAUGCAUGUAAACCCAAGGGAAGAAGGAUUCUUCCUUCAGCAGUGAGGAAGCUAAGUUGUGGGAAAUUAAACAGAAACCCUGUGUUGAAGACAUUAUGUUCAUUAAACCGAGUGAACAAGAGGGAGCAACUGCUUUGGACUUGCUUGUUAUGUGCACUUCAAAGAUGGCUGUGUUUUCAAGCAGAACCAUUUCUAGGAAACAAUUAUAAAUAUUGUUGAUUUUGCACUUGUGAUAUAGCUACUUUCCUGAGAAUAUCUCUCAGGAAAGAUACUGGUUCUGUUCAUUUUGAUGUUACCAUUUCUACAGUGUUCUAUUUGAAAAAAAAAGUACUGAAUUUACAUAAUGAAGACAACGAACUCUGUCUGCAGAGUUUAGUUUAUGGCUGAGAGCUAAAACAUGAAAAGGCUAUCCUCACAACAUUUCUUUGGUUGUUGUUCAUAUGACUCAUUAGUUAUUAUUUUGGUGGAACAUAUUAUAGUAAAACAACAGUGUUUAUAAUAUGUUUAUGUUAGUAAUGGUCUUUUUUCUGAAUAUGGCAUGGAGCUAUAUUCUGAUUAAAUAUAAAUAUUAUAAAUGUUGAGGCAGAAUUAUUUAGAUGUCUUUAAAUUUAUGUAAUUUUCUCUUGGGUAGAGAGUUUGAUUAUUAUGAGAAAGUUCAGCUAACUCGAACUAAUACAUUAUCUUGAAUUGACAUAAUCACACCAACAAAGGAAACAUUUAAUUCUCAUAAUGAUAUAUUCAGUUUAGUAUUAUUCUCUACAUUUCAAAAUUACAUGCUAGUCACAUUAAAACGGAAGCACACUCAAAGAUCUCUUGAUGCUCUUAUAGCUCCACAAUUCAUAUAAAUAUGGUAUGGGAUUUUGCUUUGAAUGUAUGCAAUAGAUGUUUGAAAGCAAAGCAUUCACAGACAUAGUUCAAAGUCUAGUUGCCUUUGUCCUUCCUUGCUCAGCCCUGAGAUGCAGAAUUCAUAGUAGGGGCAGACUCGCUUAGGGAGCAAAGAAUAACAACUAAAGACAAAGUGAAGAGGAAAAGUUAAGUUGGAAGGAGGCCUGUGGAACAGGAACUAGCAGACAUAGUGGAUUAGUGUAAUAGCAAGUAGAGAUAGGUGAAAUGAACCUGUAGGUUACUGGAUCAUGGUAGAUGUAGUACGUCUCAAAAUGCUGUUAAUGAUGUAUGAGUGAGACCAUUCUAUUUUGAGACACUUGUCUACAUUAACAAGAUAGCUUGCAAUAUUUCCCAUGCCUCCUCUCCAACUGGUACAGUAAUAUGUCAAACUGAAGCCUUGUCUUGCAUGUGCAGAUAAGAGUUUCUUUUCACAUUGCUGUGACCAAAUACUUAACAACAUGGCACUUGGGAAGGAAGAGUUUGUUCUGUGUUACAGUUUAAAGGAAUGCAUCCCAUCGCCAGGGAAGGCAGAGCAGCAGAAGCCUGAGGCAGCUGGUCUCACUAUGUGGCAGUCAGGAAGCAGAGAGACAUGAACACUGUUGCUCAACUCACUUCUUAUUCAACCAGAGAUCCCUGGAAUCCAGAGGACAGUGUUGCCCAAUUACCCAAUAUAGAAACACUCUCAAAGUCAUGGUCAAAGGUUGAUCUCCCGGGCCCCUGUCUUGUGGAAAAUUGAUCUUAAUCACAUGUAGGUGUGCAAAGUCAAAGUCCAACAUUGGUUGGUUGUUGACAUAUGGAUUUGUGGUAGACAAUGAAUACCAUUUGCAAAUGCUUAAUUCCUUCAUACACUCAAUUUGUGGGUCAGGUGAUUGGGUUUUCUUUAGAACAUAUUUCACCUUUAAAAGUUUGGGCAGUAAGUUUAUUCUAUAUCUAUUAAAUGAAUUGGGAUUUUUACCUUUAUGAUCUUGGAUAGUUAAGGGACAAGACAGUAAGUUUUAAAUUUGGACCUUUUAAAUAUCAAACUACUCUUUUAAUGCUUUAUUCUAUUACCACUCACUUCUUUGACAUCUGGAGAACUCUCCAGAAGCUUCUCUUUGGUUGGUGUAGGGGUAUAACAGUGACAAUUUAUGGGGGGGCUUGAAUAUGCCUUUUCCCAAAUCCCAGGUUAAUGCUCAAUGCAAGGGUGUUAGGGACAGGGGCUGAGAGGACAUGUGUGAGUUCCAAGAGAUCCACCCUCCUGAUUGGCUUAGUGCCACUAAGUGUUUGCUUUCACUCUCCUGCUAAUUGAGGCCAGGAUGUUUGUCCUCUCUUGCCCUCUGUCCCUGAGGAUGCAAUGUGAAGGCCCUCAGUGGAGGAUGGUACUGUGAUCAUGGGCUUCUCUGUCCCUCCAACUUUGUGAAGAAAUAAACUUCUGCUUGUUCAAAUUA